rnacentral:rRNA from 1 species
AUGGCUCCCCGGCCGCGGCAGUUCGCUGCGAUGAUCGGAGGCGGCGGCGGGUUCCCGUCGUCGAUUGGGCAGUACAAUGCGGGGAUGGGUACUGAUGCGAUGCCUUCAGUGGUGCCGCCCCAUGUGAACCCGGCAUACUUGGCAGCCAGCAGAAUGGCAAUGGGUGGCCCUGGCACAGGGAUGUGGCCUAAUCAGGGCAUGGCUGGGGGCUUAUGGGGUGGGCUUCAGCCAUGGAAUUUUGGAGGUUGUGACAUGUCAUGGCAGCAGCAGCCACGGCUGCAGCAGCACCACCGCCAAGUGCAGCAGCAGUACCGGAAUGGGAACGGGGGCUAUGUAAAACUGCGUGGCACCGGGCCAGGUGGUAGGAAUCAGGACAAGGACAUUGGCAAUGUGAGGGGCAACCCAGAUAGGAGGUCGUAUGGCCGGGGCGGCGGCGGCGAACGGCCCAGGGAGAGGGACCGGCAUCGGGAGUAUGCCCCGGAGAGGGAAAGGGGGCGUGAGAGGAACUGGAAUGACAAGGAUCAGCACGGAGGUGGUGAACAAAAGAGGUACCCACAGUAUACUGAGCACGAUGACUGGGAGCGGCGAGGGCGGCUCAGGUCAAGGAGCCAGUCAAGGGACAGUGAUGAUGAUGGUGAUGAUCAUCCAAGAAGGCGCCACUAA